CCCCGGUUGGAGACCCCAGCCCUGUACCGGGUGGGGGUCUUAGCUCCCACUGACUUGGGGCCUUCAACCACACUGGCAUCCCAGGCAUUCCUCCUGACUGAUUUCUGUUUUAAAAAUAAUGUGGAACGUUUUCUGGCAUCUGGUGAGGGAUUCACACACUGUAUAUUCAGGGCAGGACUUAAGGAAUGAGUUCAGAAGGUAUCUGGUCACUGGACAAACAGCAGGCAAGCCCCCUGUGCUCCUCGCUGGGAGAAAGCAGCCUUCAAGGUCCCAGCACCCCCAAACCCACGAGCUCACACAAAACAACGCGAGCCACAAAUGCAAGCCACAUCUGUCAUUUAACAUCUUCUAAUAGCCACAUUUUCAGAAAGUGAAAAUAAGCAGAUUGAGCUUCUAGAGCCUCAGAGAUGGAAUUCGCCGUUUUGCCGCGAUUUGGCGUUAACUUAUUGACCCACGGGGAGGAGGGUCACUUCCCCUGAAAAGGUAUAAAAUGAAGUUGUCAGUCUCUCUUUUUAAUUAAAAAAAAAAUCUCUGCAAAGAUUCUGCAUUCUGGCUUCUCUUUGCUAAAUUAAAGUGGCAUGUGUUUUUAUUUUAGAAGGCAGAGAUGUUUUGCUGUGCCCAGUGUGAGGAAGCGAAGGAAAAGAAAGAUCUUUUGAAAAUGUGUACGUCUACUUGCAGCUUGAAAAUUCCAAGUGC
rnacentral:lncRNA from 1 species